rnacentral:lncRNA from 1 species
UAGGGGUAAUGGAUUAAGACUUCAAAGGGAUGCACAGCUGGUAGCAUGGUGGUAGUAGGAGUUGUACAAUUCUUUGUAAUCUGACCAAUAAUGAAAGGCAAAAGAGAUGAAGAGGAGGUUGCCAGGAACUAAUGAAAUGUCCUUUGUUCUGCAGGACAGAAUGAACUGCAUUUGAAAGUACUACCCUUGCUAUGGAUGGCUGUGAAAUUCCACAUUACUAAGGUGAAGAGAUGUAUUGGGUGAGAUGAAGAGCCCUUAGGGAUUACUUUGGGGUAUCACUCGGUCCUGGAGGCAUCACUUCAAGUUCUCUGUGCAGAGAGGUCCAUGCCCUGAGGUCUCCAAAAGAGAGACUAAUAAGUCUGAGCCAUUCUGGGUCUGGUGUGCUUGGAAGGUGUCUGCCUCAGAGCAGAUUGUGGACCCAGUAUCCAAAUUUCAUCUCUCUACAAUAGUGAAGAUUUGAUGGUGGAAGGCCUAACAAUAUUGACUAGUGGCACAGAACUGCUCCUCAAAACUGCUCUCUAAAGCCUGAUACAAAGGCAGCCCUUCACCUCAGCUCUUGGAGUUUAAGAUGCUGUGAAUGUCUCUGUGCUGCACCAGGGACAGGGGCUAUGAUUACACAUUAAAGUUGCAGGUGCUAUGGUGGAGGGUCACCCACUUCACCCCAAGCUUCUGCCGCAUGGAAUCUGUGCCUGGAACCCCAGAGUCUGUUGCAAUGAGGAAAGCUAUCUUUGGGUGGCAGUGCCUGAGGAGGAUGGUUUCCUCUCAUUUUGAUGGGGAGUACGGAGUAGAGAGCAGAACAUGACAAUUUCAGGUAAGAGUUUGGGCAGAUUUAAGAAACACAUUGGAUUUU